rnacentral:rRNA from 1 species
UACGGGGGGGGCAAGCGUUGUUCGGAAUUACUGGGCGUAAAGGGCGCGUAGGCGGUUCGAUAAGUCAGCUGUGAAAACCAUGGGCUUAACUCAUGGCCUGCAGUUGAGACUGUCGGGCUGGAGUGUGGGAGAGGAGAGUGGAAUUCCUGGUGUAGCGGUGAAAUGCGUAGAUAUCAGGAGGAACACCGGUGGCGGAGGCGGCUCUCUGGACCACAACUGACGGCUGAGGAGCGAAAAGUGUCGGGGAGCAAACAGG